ACUACACAGUCCACUGAGCUACCAACCACACUAACCCCUGAGCCAUCCACCACUACACAGACCACUGAGCCACCAACCACACCAACACCUGAGCCGUCCACCACUACACAGACCACAGACCCAUCAACCUCUGAGCCCUCCACCACUACACGGGCCACUGAGCCACCAACCACACCAACCCCUGAGCCAUUCACAACUACACAGGCCACUGAGCCAUCAACCCCUGAGCCAUCCACCAUUACACAGACGACCGAGCCGCCUACCACACAGACAACUGAGCUGCCAACCACCACACAAACAGUGACCACUCUCAGUUCCACUACAACUACUCCCCCUAAAACAAUCAAUCUAAAGAUAUCCAUAUUCAGUGACUUGGAGCUGGUUAGUCUUCAUUACGGGAACCGUACCAUUUCACCUGGGAAACCACUAAAGGUGGCUGUAGAAGCGGAAAGUGAUGGAGGGAAUUACCAUGUUUUACUGGUCAAUUCUUUCUUUGUCAAUAAUGAUGUUGAUAUUACUUUAAAUGGGUACCCGGACAUCAAAAAGCUGAGUCAAAUUUCAGAACACCAGUAUGAACAUACAGGUGUCUCAAUUGGAGUGUACAAUGUUUUGUAGAGCAGUGAAUCAGAUCCCAAUAAUAAUCUGUAUUCCAUGAUCUCUACUUUGUCCAAGUAACAACUCUACAUCAACAUAUCAGUCAACGACCUACCCAACCAUGUUAAAAGAUGAGCAUACAUUUUGAAAUUUACGCUGCAUUAUGUAAUGAAUGUUUUCUCUUGAUUACUCUUCUCUAUAAUCUGGAGCAAAUGAAUGUACAUAUUUCAUUUUGUAAUGUUCUUAUCAAUAAUGCUUACUAUCAGAAAAUGUUUUUUUUUAUGUUUUCCCCUCUGAAUACUCACAAACUUAGAGAAACUGACAGAAAUACCUUCAAAAUGUAUCAAUUGUCCUGAUUUUUCGAAAUAACUCAUUUAUAUAAAAUUUCCCAACAGUUAUAGGGAACAAUUUAUAAGGUGUACAUAAUGGAUUCAAAAUUGUUGUACAUUUGGUAUGAUCAAGGACCAGUUGUUCCUUCCACAUCUUCAUUCUUCUCCAGACUCAUAGCACCUUCAACUGCAGUUGAAAACAAUUCCUGCAUCCAGGCUAGACCUCCACGUGUUCCACCCUGUACCCUGCCCUGAAGGUGCCAUAACUCUGCAGCAUUAUUUGAUUUCUGGCAGGCCAUUGAUGUAAAAAUAUUGGUUUCUUUAUAUCUAUCCCAGCAACUCAAUUUGCUCCAAGGAUCUGCUUUAACGAUGUUGACAUUUGAACAGUUAUCUUAUUUAACUAUUAACUUAUUUGGAAUUCACUACAAAAUUCUGAAUCGUAUUGUAUAUUAGACUUGUGCAUUUGGAUUUGUACAAACUAUUUUGAACUGAGUUUGUCAAUUCUGUGUGUUCGUACAGAUCUAUGAUAUGAGUAGGGUCCCUGAUGAAACAAAGGAAAACAAAUGUCAAAACCUCCAAAAUUCUGCUAAGUUUGUUCAUUCAUUUGCCUGCUAUAGCUGAGGCAUCUCUCCCUCUUACACAAUUUCUGGGAAGGUUGCCAGUUAAUUAUAAGAUGGGGUCCCACAGGCUUAAGCAAGCUAUGUUUAGCAUUUUUGGCAGCAUUCCUAGAAAAUGUGGUUAAGGUUCAAAUUGGGGAAUGUUAAGCCUUAAGGAGUCAAACACUUUUAUGAAAUGGAGGACAAACCUGGAAAACUACUCGCCAGGGCUCUCAGGGCCAAGAGAUCAACCACGUACAUCCCCAAGGUCAGGGACGCGACAGGCACACUACACCAUCACACGAGAGACAUUGCCCGUUGCUUUUCUGCCUACUAUAAUAAACUCAAUAACUUAAACGAGGGGAAAGAUCCUGAUGAACCAACACUCAUUCGAAUGGCAGAAUAUCUGGACAAACA